rnacentral:rRNA from 1 species
CGGGGUGCACCAGGCGCGAAAACUUUACAAUGCUGGCAACAGCGAUAAGGGGACCUCGAGUGCCAGGUUGCAAAUCUGGCUGUCGUGAUGCCUAAAAAGCAUUGCAUAGCAAGGGCCGGGCAAGACCGGUGCCAGCCGCCGCGGUAACACCGGCGGCUCGAGUGGUAACCGUUGUUAUUGGGUUUAAAGGGUCUGUAGCCGGCCUGGUUAGUCCUUUGGGAAAUCCGGCAGCUCAACUGUCGGGCUUUCAGAGGAUACUGCCAGGCUCGAGACCGGAAGAGGUAAGAGGUACUUCAGGGGUAGGGGUGAAAUCUUGUAAUCCUUGAAGGACCACCAGUGGCGAAGGCGUCUUACCAGAACGGAUCUGACGGCAAGGGACGAAAGCUAGGGGCACGAACCGGAUUAGAUACCCGGGUAGUCCUAGCCGUAAACGAUACUCGCUAGGUGUCGGCCACGGUGCGACCGUGGUCGGUGCCGUAGGGAAACCGUGAAGCGAGCCACCUGGGAAGUACGGCCGCAAGGCUGAAACUUAAAGGAAUUGGCGGGGGAGCAC